AUUGAACGCUGGCGGCAGGCCUAACACAUGCAAGUCGAACGGUAACAGGAAGCAGCUUGCUGCUUUGCUGACGAGUGGCGGACGGGUGAGUAAUGUCUGGGAAACUGCCUGAUGGAGGGGGAUAACUACUGGAAACGGUAGCUAAUACCGCAUAACGUCGCAAGCCCAAAGAGGGGGACCUUCGGGCCUCUUGCCAUCGGAUGUGCCCAGAUGGGAUUAGCUAGUAGGUGGGGUAACGGCUCACCUAGGCGACGAUCCCUAGCUGGUCUGAGAGGAUGACCAGCCACACUGGAACUGAGACACGGUCCAGACUCCUACGGGAGGCAGCAGUGGGGAAUAUUGCACAAUGGGCGCAAGCCUGAUGCAGCCAUGCCGCGUGUAUGAAGAAGGCCUUCGGGUUGUAAAGUACUUUCAGCGGGGAGGAAGGGAGUAAAGUUAAUACCUUGGCUCAUUGACGUUACCCGCAGAAGAAGCACCGGCUAACUCCGUG
rnacentral:rRNA from 1 species